rnacentral:rRNA from 1 species
GACGAACGCUGGCGGCGUGCCUAAUACAUGCAAGUAGAACGCUGAGGCAGGAGCUUGCUCUGCUGGAUGAGUUGCGAACGGGUGAGUAACGCGUAGGUAACCUGCCUGGUAGCGGGGGAUAACUUUUGGAAACGAUGGCUAAUACCGCAUAAGAGUAGCUGUUGCAUGACAUUUACUGAAAAGGUUCAAUUGCAUCACUACCAGACGGACCUGCGUUGUAUUGGCUAGGUGGUGGGGUAACGGCUGACCAAGGCGACGAUGCAUAGCCGCCCGGCGAGGGGGAUCGGCCACCCUGGGACGGUGACACGCCCCAGUCUCCUACGGGAGGCAGCCGGAGGGCAUCUUCGGCCAGCGGCGGAAGUUUGUCCGAGCUACGCCGCGGGAGUGUAGAAGGUUGUCGGAUCGUAAAGCUCUGUUGUCAGGUAAGAACGAGUUUGAGAGUGUAAAGUUCACACUGUGACGGUAUCUUACCAGAAAGCGACGGCUAACUACGUG